GGAGAAGUACUCAAGAGGCUGAAGAGGACGGUUUGCUAAAUCGUUAGGCUGGGAAACUGGUGCGCAGGUUCGAAUCCUGUCUUCUCCG
rnacentral:tRNA from 1 species